UCCAUUUUUUGGCUUUUUUCGUUUUUUUCUGUGUUUAAAAGGAAAAAAAGCAUUUGAAAAAAUACACUAGGGAGCUGAUAUUUCCUGCAGGAUACUAAAUCAUGUAGAAGUUCGAAAUGGCACCAUCAGGCAAUUUCUAACUUAUUGCAAACAGGCUGGGAAGAUUUGCACUAAACUCUUGUUAUUUUGCCAUUUUUUGGCUCAUUGACUCCCAUUAUAAAUCAUGAUUUUUAAUAUGCUGUAAACCUGAUGUUUUAUCAUGCAUUUUCCGUGAUUAUUGAUGCAAUCGCUUCUUUGGCGAGUCAAAAACAUGCAGAUAAAAAAAUUUUUGUGUUGACACCCAGAAGUCACUAGAUGGAGCCAUAGGCCAAUACAUGAAUUUGCUUGCGAAGCUAGCUUUAGAUCGGUCAAAAAUUAAUGCAAUAAAGAUGGUUGGCUUUACAAAAAAAUUGGUGAUAAUGUUGUCUGAGCUCACUUUCAGUCUAUUUGGGCAUGCGUAUUUGCAAUUUUGCACGUUUGCACAAGACAAUAAAAAGGUACUUCCCGGAAAUGCAAAAAAAACAAAACAAAAAAACACGUGUUUAUUGUUGUCGUUUGAAUUUCAACUCUUAUUGGUUGGGUGUUUGAAUUUCUUUACUCUCAUUGGUUCUGGGCAUUUUGGGAGUCUCUGUUCUCGCGAGGAUCACCAUUUUGCAUUUCUUCCAACACAACUGUGAUCGAUGGCGGCGAGAAGUAUUUCACCGCAGGACACGAUUCGAAUGGUGUUAGAAAAUCCUGAUUCCGACGACGACGACCUUUGUUCGGACGCUUCUUUGGAGAGCCCAGAAGACAUUGAACAAAUUCUUCCGGACUUUCGAUGCCGGAGGAGGACGGCUUUGAUGACGAGGAUUAGGAAAUAGUUGACAACAUAAUGAGAUGAAAGCGGGGAGCAGAAGGCGGGGGCACGGACAUGACCACGUUGAGGCGCAUGACGAAAAUGACGGCGAUCGAGGUAAUGACGAGAGCCUGUGGCACAUACUCCUGCCGCCGGCGCGCACUCAGGUGGCCAAUGUGUGAGUUUUUUCACAUGCCGGACAUUUCGUCAUGCAGCGCGUUUGUGCUGUUCACGGAGAUCUACCCUCGUUUGUGCUGUUCACGGAGAUCUACCCUGAGUGGAACGUGAAGAAAAGCUACAAGCGCCGACUAUUUCUUGAGGAACUUGGCAAGGCUCUAAUUCGCCCAGAAGUCCUAAAACGGGAACCACCGCCUUCUGCCGAAGGCUUGGUUGAGCAGCGAGCUGGACCCCCGUCCAAGCGCAAACAAUGUGGCCUUUGCACAAAGCCACUUCGGGCUUCGAACAUAAUAAUAAAUAAUAAUACAUUUUAUUUAUAACGCACUUUACAUUUGAACAACAAAUCUCAAAGUGCACAUCAUGAAUUGUGUAUGUUGUUAUUAUGUUAACUGUUAUAUUGUAUGUAUGUUUUGUAAAAUUGUUAACAUAAAUUCUAUCAUCAAAUCA